rnacentral:lncRNA from 1 species
AGGGAAGGAAGGGGGGGGAGGGAGGGNNNNNNNNNNNNNNNNNNNNNNNNNNNNNNNNNNNNNNNNNNNNNNNNNNNNNNNNNNNNNNNNNNNNNNNNNNNNNNNNNNNNNNNNNNNNNNNNNNNNNNNNNNNNNNNNNNNNNNNNNNNNNNNNNNNNNNNNNNNNNNNNNNNNNNNNNNNNNNNNNNNNNNNNNNNNNNNNNNNNNNNNNNNNNNNNNNGGGGUGUGGGGGGCGGCGGGCCGGAGGGACGAGGGCGGGCGAGAGGCGCGCGCUGGGAUUGGCGCCGAAGACCGGACCCUCAGCCGCUAGGGACCAGAGGAACUAGACAUCCUGAAGUUCCUGGUUGGAAUGUAUUUUUGAAGUUAAUUUGUCAGGUCAAACCUCCAGGGGCUAUCAGGGCAAACACCUUGAGUGAAGAGGAUCUCGCCGCUUACCUACAUACAGGCAGAAAUUCUAUCUACAGAAAAGUUACCGCAGGAAAUGGAUCAAAAGAUUCAACCAGCAAAUGGUGAAUCAAUGGCAAGUCAAUAGUAAGGUGAGAGAUUAUGUUACUAAAGGAUGACCUCAAGAUUAUUAUUAUACAAUGAAUUAAUUUCUUAUGUAGAUAAAUGCUGGACCAUUUAUUAUUGUCAUAGUAUAACUGGAGGUGAUUUCAUGUGUUCGUAAUGCCACAUGAGGUUAAAUGGAAUUGGGCAUGGUCCCCUCUCUAACAUGUUACCAGUGUCUGAUUUUGGGGACAUUUCUAAACAAUUCUGGGCUUCAGGAUCUCCACUUGAAAACAGGAGCAAUAGUAUUUAUCUGUUAGGUUAUGAAGGCACUGUUCUAACAUUCUAUGAAUGUUAGAACAGGCAAACACUCGACACCCAGCAUUCACUUCUUGAGGGCUAGUCCUCCCUACCCCUAUUUAUGGAGAUAGAAGAUAAAGAGAGAAGACAGAACUCUGCUUUCAUCUUCAAAUAUAUUUUUCUUCAUUGAUUAUCUAAUGAAUAUAACCAUUGACUCAGAAAAUAGGUGGAAUUUUCAUCUUUCCAACCUUCAUUCUUUUUUCAUUUCUUAGAGCGUUAAAGAUUUUUUAUUUAUUUAUUUGUCAGACAGCCAGCGAUAGAGGGAACACAAGCGGGGGAGUGGGGGAGGAAGAAGCAGGCUCCCGGCGGAGGAGCCCGAUGUGGGACUGGAUCCUGGAAUGCCAGGAUCACGCCCUGAGCCGAAGGCAAACGCCUAACAACUGCGCUACCCAGGCGCCCCCAUUUCUUAGAGCUUUAAUGAGCGUCUACUAUAAGCUGAGAGCUGAGUGCUGUGGGAGACAAAAAGGAGAGUGAUCCUAUUCUCAUGGAGAUUGGGAUCUAGAAAGAGAGGUCAUAUAUAUAUAAUAAUAAUUUUAUAUACAUAUAUAUAUAUAAAUGCCAGUAGAGAGACAAAAUAUUGCCUUCGUUUAUUAGAAGGAGAAAUUAUUUUAACUAGGGUUAUCACAGAAAGCUUCAUGGAGGAGGUAGUGAUAGAUUGGGCUUUAAAGACGAGGUACAAUUUAGGCAGCAGUGAGAGAGGGAAUGCAGUGAACCGAGACUGAGGUAACGUGAUUGGGUGGGAAAAACGCUAACCUGGGACUGGAAAGACCUGGGUUGGCAAUACCUCCGUUGAACUACUCCCUGGCCUUCAGUUUCUUUAUUUGUGAAAUGUGUAAAAUAAUCUCUGCCCUGUUGGUCUUUCAGGGGCCUGGAGAAGAUCACAAGGGAGCCUGCAUGUGAGAUCUCUUUGGAAACCCUGAAGCACUCUGUGAAUGAAAAGGGUAAAUUUUUUCUCUCUUGCCUUGUACCAUAAACUCCAUGAGAGCAUUUGACAGGGUCAGUUAUGUAGGUCUUUAAGAAAAAUGUUUGAGGAAGUAUAUCCAAACAAUCACACUUAUAAACCUUAAGUCUUCAUAAUUUUUAUUUGCCAAUUAUAUGUCAGUAAAGAGGGGGAAAGUUUUGCCUUUUUUUUUUAAUAUUUUAUUUAUUUAUUCGACAGAGAUAGUGACAGCCAGCGAGGGAGGGAACACAAGCAGGGGGAGUGGGAGAGAAAGAAGCAGGCUCAUAGCGGAGGAGCCUGAUGUGGGGCUCGAUCCCAUAACGCCGGGAUCAGGCCCUGAGCCGAAGGCAGACGCUUAACGACUGUGCCACCCAGGUGCCCCAAGAGGGGGAAAGUUUUGAUAAAACAAUGAAGCAUUGAUUGAGUGAAUGAAUCCAUGAAUGUUAUGGACUGAAUGUCUGUGUCCCCCCAGAAUUCAUAUGCUGAAAUCCCACCUCUAAUGCGGUAGUGUUAGGAGGUGGGGCCUCGGGAGGUACUUAGGUUUAUAUGAGGUCCCGAGGGCAGAGCCCCACGAUGGAAUUAGUGCCCUUACAAGAAGAGGAGACUCCAGCACUUUCUCUCUUCAGCUUGUGAUGAUACAGUGAGAAGGCAGCCAUCGGCAAGCCAGGAAGGGGGCGCUCACCAAGAAUUGAAUCUUCUGGUACCUUGAUCUUGGACUUCCCAGCCUCCAGAACGGUGAAAAAUAAAUGUCUGUUGUUAAGCCGCCCAGGUGUGGUGUUUUGUUAUAGUCGCCUGAGUGGACUAAGACAGUGAGUAAAUAAAUGACUGAAACAAAACAAAGGCGCAGAGGAGGAAAACAUACAACAUGAACAAGGAGUAAAGGGUUAUCUUUGAAAAUAUGUGGUACAGCUGGGUGUUAGGAGUGUAACCCAGAGCUGGGGGGGUGGAUGGAGUGCCGCGGUCCUCAGAGGACGUUCUGUGGACCAGCAGCAUCAGUAUCACCUAGGAACUCGUUAAAAAUGCAAGUUCCUGGGCCCCCACCCAGGCCUGCGGAAUCUGAAACUCAGGGGUGGGGCCAGCAGUCUGUUUUAGCGAUCCCUCUAGGUCAUUCUGGUGCAAAGUAAAGUUUUGAGAACCAUUACUUUGUACUAACAUGGGGAGUUUGGAAAUUAUUCUGCUGUAAAUUCAGUGUUAAUGAAGGUUUUUAACUGUGGAUGGAUAUAAUCAGAGCUGUAUUUCUAGGAUGAUGAGGCAUGAAGCUUUGCCUAAAAGAAUUUAUGGCUUCGAUGUAAAAAGCACCACUGGAAAUCCUGGAAAACACAUUGUAUUUGCCAAGCCCCAGAGUGAAAGAUUUUGAUUUUUCCUGAUUCCAGAUAAUAUCCACAUCAUCAGCGAAGAGGCAAACCAGAGCAGGCAUUGCUCCCAGGCCCUGGAGAAACCUGUUUGGCCUACAGAGACCAGGCAGGAUGAGAAAGUUUCUGUGAAAAUACACGAGAUAACUGUGAAAUAUGGUCCUAACUGAUCUUAGAGAGGCCUCUUAGUCCUGAGCAGCUGUGGGGAAACAUGAAAUGGAACCUUCCAUACCACGACAAACGGGCAGCUCUUCCUACUGCUGGCCUAACUAGCUAUACUGGCUGAAAAUGCAGCUCUAUUUGGGGCUGGUGGAGACAGGUCUGCCAAAGGGGAGGGCAUCGUGUGGAAGAGAAAUGAAGAGCCUCAAGGGAAAGCAGUUACCUUAAAGGAGAGUCUAGAAGCCCAAGAUGCCAGUGUCAGGUGGGAGCGAGUGGGGAGGAGAAGGAUGAGGGCUGUUCAGAGAGGUUUAGGACUGCUAGGGUGACCAGUCAUCUGGGUUUGCCCAGGACUCAGGAUGUUCAGGACAAGCCCUGCCAAACCAGGGCAGUUGGUCACCCUGGAACUAUGCACCCUCGCUGUGUUGAAGAUCUGGGGAGAAGACUUUGUGAAAGCAGAAAAAUCACUUCUCUAAAGCUUGGGUCUCAAGUAUCGUCUACAGACUGGCAACGUCAGUGUCACCUGGGAGCUUGUUAGAAAUGCAGCUCCUCGGCCCACCCUAAAGCUACAGGAUCAGACCUGCAUGACAGCAAGAGCCCCAGGUCAUUUGCAUGCACAUGGGUUCAGAAAGACUGCCUUAGAGGAUCUGUGAGCCCUGCAUGGCUUCCCCCAGUUAAAAAAAAAAAAAGUAGCACUGGUGGGGAGCCGAGAGAAUUUCUUGGCUGUGAUACAGCUCACGUCCAGGUUGGCCAGAUUCUAAGCUGCAACUGCAUCAACCCUGCCUGGGAAGGAGCAGAAGCAUUGAGAAGGUUAUAUGCGAGGGGUACCAAGAAUUGAGAGCAAAGAGGGAAAAGGACAGUUGACACAAAAUAGCCAAGAGGGGCCUCCUGACCUAUUAACAGUAGUUGUAGGAAUGCAGGAAAGCCAGAAAUCCAGCAAUCGUGUGGUGAGAGUAAAGCUAGAGAAAUACUCUUCUGUUCUAAUACUGUGACUCUGUUUUGGUGAAAAACAAGCUGAUGUGGGCUGGGAAAUGAAUUAUGCUUGAAAAUGUGGAGUCACAGUGCUGUGGGUAAGCCUUCAGAGAAAGAUGAAAAAGGAGCACCCACUACAAGUAUCCAGCUUUAGCAUCUUGGCCUCCCUCACUUGCAUCUCACUCAGAAAUGCAAAGCAAGUUUAGUUUUUUCUUUGUCUCUACCUGGUCUGAUCAUUAUGGGUUCCAGCUCUGCAUUCUAGCAAGAAUAAUUUGCACUUAAUUCAUAGUGGUUCAUUUUUCUCCAGCUUGAACAUAAUUCUUUGAUUUUAAACAUUCCAAUGUGCAGCAGAAUCACCUAGAGGGCAUGUUAAAACACAGAUUGCUGGGCCUACCCCAAGGUUUCUGAUUCAGUACAUCUGGUAGCAACUUAGAAUUUGCAUUUCUAAGGAGUUCCCAGUUGAUGCUGAUUUUAUUGGUCCAAGGAACACACGUUAGAACC